GCCAGUGGUGUAAGGAUAAACACGGCUGCCUCAUGAACAGCGUGUCCGUGGUUCAAGUCCCGGCAGUGGCG
rnacentral:tRNA from 1 species